GACGAACGCUGGCGGCGUGCUUAACACAUGCAAGUCGAACGGAAAGGCCUGCUUUCCCUUGUGGAUUGCGGGUACUCGAGUGGCGAACGGGUGAGUAACACGUGAGUGAUCUGCCCCCAACUUGGGUAUAAGCCUGGGAAACUGGGUCUAAUUCCCGAUAGGACUGCAGGGUGGUGCCUGUGGUGGAAAACGAUUUUCUAGUGGUUGGGGAUGAGCUCGCGGCCUAUCAGCUUGUUGGUGGGGUAAUGGCCUACCAAGGCGGCGACGGGUAGCCGGCCUGAGAGGGUGGACGGCCACAUUGGGACUGAGAUAUGGCCCAGACUCCUACGGGAGGCAGCAGUGGGGAAUAUUACACAAUGGGCGGAAGCCUGAUGCAGCGACGCCGCGUGGGGGAUGACGGCCUUCGGGUUGUAAACUCCUUUCGACCGCGAGGAAGCCACCUGGUUGGAAGGGUGGUGACGGUAGUGGUAGAAGAAGCACCGGCUAACUACGUG
rnacentral:rRNA from 1 species